GAUGAAGAACGUAGCAAAAUGCGAUACUUGGUGUAAAUUGCAGAAUCCCGUGAACCAUCGAGUUUUUGAACGCAAGUUGCGCCCGAAGCCUUUUGGCCGAGGGCACGUCUGCCUGGGCGUCACGCAUCGCGUCGCCCCCCACAAUUCUCCGUAAAAGGAACAUGUGUUUUGGGGGCGGAUAUUGGUCUCCCGUGCUCAUGGCGUGGUUGGCCGAAAUAGGAGUCCUUUCGAUGGACGCACGAACUAGUGGUGGUCGUAAAAACCCUCGUCUUUUGUUUCGUGCUGUUGCUCGCAAGGUAAACUCUUUAAAAACCCCAAUGUGUCGUCUCUUGACGACGCUUCGACCGCGACCCCAGGUCAGGCGGGACUACCCGCUGAGUUUAAGCAUAUCAAUAAGCGGAGGA
rnacentral:misc_RNA from 1 species